rnacentral:rRNA from 1 species
AUUGAACGCUGGCGGCAGGCCUAACACAUGCAAGUCGAACGAGUCGCGGGCGGGGGAGUAAUGCUUGGGAAUCUGGCUUAGGGAGGGGGAUAACUUCGGGAAACUGUAGCCAAUACCGCGUACUAUAGGAUGAGCCCACGUGGGAUUGGGGAGUUGGUGAGGUAAAGGCCCACCAGGCCGACGAUCUCUCGCUGGUCUGAGAGGAUGACCAGCCACACUGGGACUGAGACACGGCCCAGACUCCUACGGGAGGCAGCAGUGGGGAAUAUUGCGCAAUGGGGGCAACCUGACGCAGCCAUGCCGCGUGAAUGAAGAAGGCCUUCGGGUUGUAAAGUUCUUUCGGUAGCGAGGCGUUAACUGCAGAAGAAGCACCGGCUAACUCCGUGCCAGCCGCCGCGGUAAUUC